UACGUAGGCAGCAAGCGUUGUUCGGAGUUACUGGGCGUAAAGGGUGUGUAGGCGGUUGUUUAAGUUUGGUGUGAAAUCUCCCGGCUCAACCGGGAGGGUGCGCCGAAUACUGAAUAACUAGAGUGCGGGAGAGGAAAGUGGAAUUCCCGGUGUAGCGGUGAAAUGCGCAGAUAUCAGGAGGAACACCUAUUGCGAAGGCAGCUCGCUGGGACGUAACUGACGCUGAGACGCGAAAGCGUGGGGAGCAAACAGG
rnacentral:rRNA from 1 species